GAUGAACGCUGGCGGCGUGCCUAAUACAUGCAAGUCGAGCGAAUGGAUUAAGAGCUUGCUCUUAUGAAGUUAGCGGCGGACGGGUGAGUAACACGUGGGUAACCUGCCCAUAAGACUGGGAUAACUCCGGGAAACCGGGGCUAAUACCGGAUAACAUUUUGAACCGCAUGGUUCGAAAUUGAAAGGCGGCUUCGGCUGUCACUUAUGGAUGGACCCGCGUCGCAUUAGCUAGUUGGUGAGGUAACGGCUCACCAAGGCAACGAUGCGUAGCCGACCUGAGAGGGUGAUCGGCCACACAGGGACUGAGACACGUCCCAGACUCCUACGGGAGACAGCAGUAGGGAAUCUUCCGCAAUGGACGAAAGUCUGACGGAGCAACGCCGCGUGAGUGAUGAAGGCUUUCGGGUCGUAAAACUCUGUUGUUAGGGAAGAACAAGUGCUAGUUGAAUAAGCUGGCACCUUGACGGUACCUAACCAGAAAGCCACGGCUAACUACGUGCCAGCCGCCGCCGUAA
rnacentral:rRNA from 1 species